AGACGGAGGGCGCAAGCGUUGUUCGGAAUUACUGGGCGUAAAGCGCGGGCAGGUGGUUUGUUAAGUCGUCUGUGAAAAUCCGGGGCUCAACCCCGUGAAAUGCAGGCGAUACUGGCAGACUGGAGAUCGGUAGAGGCUAGCGGAAUUCCUGGUGUAGCGGUGGAAUGCGUAGAUAUCAGGAAGAACACCUGUGGCGAAGGCGGCUAGCUGGGCCGAGUCUGACACUCAUCCGCGAAAGCGUGGGGAGCAAACAGGAUUAGAAACCCGGGUAGUCC
rnacentral:rRNA from 1 species